rnacentral:lncRNA from 1 species
GCAAACAAUAAUAAAAACAACAUACAACACACAUUUUUUAAACUAUACUUAUAUCUCAAGCAUGUCGCAGGUACACUUUUCGGACAUCUUCUCAAGCUCUUCCUUAUUCGACUUCUUUCUUUCCUUCUCGUCCAACCUCUCUCGCUCCUCUUGCUCCUUUUGAACACUCUCCCGCAACUUCUGUAACAAACACUCCCUCUCUUCCUAAAUCUACUUCUCCCUUUCCUCACCCUCUUUACAACAAUUA